rnacentral:rRNA from 1 species
AGAUGGGAUUAGCUAGUAGGUGGGGUAACGGCUCACCUAGGCGACGAUCCCUAGCUGGUCUGAGAGGAUGACCAGCCACACUGGAACUGAGACACGGUCCAGACUCCUACGGGAGGCAGCAGUGGGGAAUAUUGCACAAUGGGCGCAAGCCUGAUGCAGCCAUGCCGCGUGUAUGAAGAAGGCCUUCGGGUUGUAAAGUACUUUCAGCGGGGAGGAAGGGAGUAAAGUUAAUACCUUUGCUCAUUGACGUUACCCGCAGAAGAAGCACCGGCUAACUCCGUGCCAGCAGCCGCGGUAAUACGGAGGGUGCAAGCGUUAAUCGGAAUUACUGGGCGUAAAGCGCACGCAGGCGGUUUGUUAAGUCAGAUGUGAAAUCCCCGGGCUCAACCUGGGAACUGCAUCUGAUACUGGCAAGCUUGAGUCUCGUAGAGGGGGGUAGAAUUCCAGGUGUAGCGGUGAAAUGCGUAGAG